UUAGCUAUUUUAGAUAGGUUUGUAUUCAUAAAACAUGGAUACAAACACGACAAGCGUUUGUAUCUAUGAUGGCUAAAGGAAUUUGAAGUGACAAAAUAGGCCGCAUAGAUCAAUAAAAAUCUAUAGCGAGCCGUAAAAAUUUCUGAUGAUAUUACACUUUAUAAGGGUGUUCGCUAUAGUUUUUGACUUAGCGA
rnacentral:ncRNA from 1 species